rnacentral:rRNA from 1 species
GGAAGAAUACUUGAGGUAGUAACUGGCACCUUGACGGUACCUCACCAGAAAGCCACGGCUAACUACGUGCCAGCAGCCGCGGUAAUACGUAGGUGGCAAGCGUUGUCCGGAAUUAUUGGGCGUAAAGCGCGCGCAGGCGGUCCUUUAAGUCUGAUGUGAAAGCCCACGGCUCAACCGUGGAGGGUCAUUGGAAACUGGAGGACUUGAGUGCAGAAGAGGAAAGUGGAAUUCCAUGUGUAGCGGUGAAAUGCGUAGAGAUGUGGAGGAACACCAGUGGCGAAGGCGACUUUCUGGUCUGUAACUGACGCUGAGGCGCGAAAGCGUGGGGAGCAAACAGGAUUAGAUACCCUGGUAGUCCACGCCGUAAACGAUGAGUGCUAAGUGUUAGGGGGUUUCCGCCCCUUAGUGCUGCAGCUAACGCAUUAAGC